GUGAGGAAUAUUGCGCAAUGGAGGCAACUCUGACGCAGCCAUGCCGCGUGCAGGAAGAAGGCGCUACGCGUUGUAAACUGCUUUUAACCGGGAAGAAACCCCAGGACGUGUCCUGGGUUGACGGUACCGGAGGAAUAAGCACCGGCUAACUUCGUGCCAGCAGCCGCGGUAAUACGAAGGGUGCAAGCGUUAUCCGGAUUCAUUGGGUUUAAAGGGUUCGUAGGCGGAGCGUUAAGUCAGUGGUGAAAUCCUGCAGCUUAACUGUAGACUUGCCAUUGAUACUGGCGCGCUUGAGUGCGCUUGAAGUGGGCGGAAUGUGCCGUGUAGCGGUGAAAUGCUUAGAUAUGGCACAGAACACCAAUUGCGAAGGCAGCUCACUAAGGCGAUACUGACGCUGAGGCACGAAAGCGUGGGGAUCGAACAGGAUUAGAAACCCCGGUAGUCC
rnacentral:rRNA from 1 species